rnacentral:misc_RNA from 1 species
AGCUGCGAUAAGUAAUGUGAAUUGCAGAACUCAGUGAAUCAUCGAGUCUUCGAACGCACAUUGCGCCCCCUGGCACUCCGGGGGGCACGCCUGUCCGAGCGUCGUCGACGAUCCCUCGGGCCUCCCCGUGCCGGGAGGCCCGGCCUUGGGCCUCCAACGCCCCCGUGUGGGUGGGCCCGCAAGCCAUCGACCGGCUGUCCCUGGGGGCCCCGAGCGCAGCGGCUGUGUUCUCCACUUGCUCGAGGAGGCCCCCCCGGGUCGUGACCCCGCCGGCGCGAAAGCCCCCCUGGGGCCGCGUGAACGCGUCGUCCCCAGCGCCCGUUGACCUCGGAUCAGGCGGGGUUACCCGCUGAACUUAAGC